UACGGAGGGGGCUAGCGUUGUUCGGAAUUACUGGGCGUAAAGCGCGCGUAGGCGGCUUAGCAAGUUAGAGGUGAAAGCCCGGAGCUCAACUCCGGAAUUGCCUUUAAAACUGCAAAGCUAGAAUCAUGGAGAGGUGAGUGGAAUUCCGAGUGUAGAGGUGAAAUUCGUAGAUAUUCUGAAGAACACCAGUGGCGAAGGCGACUCACUGGACAUGUAUUGACGCUGAGGUGCGAAAGCGUGGGGAGCAAACAGG
rnacentral:rRNA from 1 species